GUGCUGCUUGGUCUCUCUGGCUGGACCCAGGUUGCUGUCACAACUGAACUGUAACACAUUUUUCCACAACCAUUCUUGAGGCCCCGGUGAGAUUUAGACGACGCUGGUCUCUUUAGCCCCCUGGCCAGUGGAGCAACCGCUUGGAGGUCAGGAGCUCCAAAGCGAACGAGGAGGUACGGCACCCGACAACAUUCCGGGUCCUUCUUUGCAGAGGUGAUUCGGUUCUCUGGGCGGCUGUGCCCCAACCGGACUCAGUGGAGGGACGGACCAACUAACCAAGCAACACGUCGGAACAAGAUCAUUAAAACUGGGAAGAAAGUGGAAAUUUAAACCUAGAAUUGGCAAAACCACUACAAACUGAAGCCCAAGGCAAGGACCAAAAGCAGAUCUGAAAUUUAAGCUAAACUACUGGUUAGAAUGAAAUUGUAGAAUUUUUAAGCUGGAACACCGCUCCCCUGGCCCACCAGCACCCUCAGGGUGACCUGCAGUUCCCUGAACUCGCUGGGUGGAAGCGGCAUUUCGUGGCACUGCUGGUCAGAGCAUUGCCUUCUCUGGAGACCAUCUAAUUCCUCUGAGGCUGAAAGAGGGUUCACAGUGAGUUGCUUCACCUGAGCCAAAGAAGUUGCUGAAGAUCAAAAAAGGGCAAAAGCCACUUCUUGGAUUCCACCAGGAAAUCCAGGCAGAACACGUAGAAACACUUAAACAUAGGAAGGCCAUAUAAACCCCAGAUGAGAGAAAACAAAGAAACAAGGCCCCUAGGAAAGUCCUGACCCUUGGCCAGAUGUAACAGGAAUGUCGCUUGUGACCUCUGUGCCCUUUGGGAUCUGUGAGUUCCGAAGAAGCAGAACUGAGAUUGUUAAAAUUAGGUAUGAAGUGCUGGCACUAGGCACCAAGGUCAAAAGGCACCAAAGAGAACACCCUACCUGAUGGAGGCUGACCAUGAAUUCAUUUCAAUUAAACCGACCCACCAGGCAAUCCACCGUGUGCCGGGGACUGAACUCAGCCGUGGGCUCUGAAGGCCCAUGAUACCUGAGUGUUGCAGACCCUGCAAAGACGGUAACUCUAUAUGAUGCUCAUCCUCUGCCUUCCAAGCCUGCUUCCACCUGGUGGCCCUCACCGAGUUCCCGGCACCGCUCUCCACCACACUGCCUAGGCCCGAAGUCUGGGCCUCAUCCACGUCACCUCUGUUGAUCUCACGUUCCUCAGCUAGUCAGCGAAAACUGAAGACUUCACUCCCUCGGUAUUUUUAAAUCCCCCUCCUCCUAAGGACCUCCCUCCUGGUAGACCCUCCUAGGUCCUUCGUGUGAGCAGCCAGCCCUUCGGCGAGCUGGCCUGUGCCUGACUCUCCAGCCUCAGCUCCCUCUGACCCUGCUCCCUGCUUUGCACCCCGUGCCUGGGGCUCUGCAGCGCUGAGCUGUGAGGCUUCACCGGAACUGCAACAGGAAACACAACCAAAAGCCAAAUGACAACCGGGGAACAGUGUCUGUAACAUACAGGAAAGUUCAAUGGUUGUCAUAUGUGUAAUAUACAGACAGCUAUUAGAGAUCAGUAAGAAAAACAUGAGCCAUCUAAAAAGAUAAAGUAUAAAUACACAUCUUUUAAAAGAAAGAAAUAAUAUAUGUACAGAGAAUAACACAAGGGAAAGAGGCUCAACCUCAUGUGUAAUAAAAGAGAUACAAAUUAAAACAA